AAAUUGCCACCCCUGGGAUAUCUGUUGUAGGUGAAGUAGCAAGUGAGAAACAAUAAUGCUUUACCAUCGACGCAAUUCCAAUCUCAGAAACCCUUUAAUCUGUAAUAGAAAGCAAUCUUUUUUUAUUAAUCACAGCCUAUGUAAUUCUUCUAUUUGCUCUGUCAAUCUUUGUUUUCAUAUUAUACAGCAAAGAUAUCUUGGAAGAUGAACACAAAAAGCCUUUGCCUGUAUUAGAAAAAUUCAAACCUGAGCAGCUUGGAGAUGAUCAAAUUUGGGAAGCUUCUUUUAGUCAUGGUUUAUGCCCAUGUGCCAAGCCGACCUCUAGAUAUAAAGGCGACGUCCUGCAACCUCCUCUCUCUCUCCAACUAAAAGACCUCAAUUUACAUGUUCGGUCACCCAAAUCUGGGAUCGCUGUAUGUCUAUCAGAAGUAAUGGGGGAUUAAAUCAAAUGCGCACUGGAAUAGCUGAUAUGGUGGCAGUGGCACAUAUAAUGAAUGCUACUUUCGUAAUUCCUCAGUUGCAUAAGCGUUCAUUCUGGCAGGAUACAAGUACAUUUUCUGAUAUAUUUGAUGAACUUCAUUUCAUUAAAACUAUACAACAAGAUGUGAGGAUCGUGGAGGAGGUUCCAAAAGAAUUGGAGAAUGUUCCUCGAGUCAGGAAGCACUUCACAUCAUGGUCUGGUAUGAGCUACUAUGAGGAAAUGACACAACUGUGGAAGGAUCAUGAUUCAUCAGGUACUGAGCAUAAAUGUCGGUGACACCACAGAAGCUAAUGGAGCGGUUGUGGUCACGAGCUGAAAGAUACAUUGCACGUCAUCUAAAAUAACAUGCUCUCUUUUACUGGCUGCACUUAUGGUCUUGCCGAUGCUGAAUCAGAGCAGCUUAGAAUAAUAAGGAAAGGUCUAGUGGAAUUAUUUGAUUGGAAGCUUGAGUGCUUGAAGAAAAUUCUGUCUCAUCUCAUUAAGAAAUUGCACAAAAACAGGCUAAGCCAAAUAUGCUCAUAGAUGUGUGCACUGCUCUACUGCAAAGCGGUGUUAUGGACUUGGUGGAGGUGUUUUCUAUAAUACAAUUUUGCAUGCCACACGAAAUUAUUGUCACCCAAGGGAGCCGACCACUAGAUACAAUCUAGUCGCUAAAAUGCUCAAAUAUUAUUGACAAGCAUCAAAUCAGCUAGCUAGUCAAGGAUUAAUAUCAGACUCAGUUUUUUUCACUGGUAGCUAUUGGCGGGCAAGGUGCACCGCGAAAAAGAGGAGGUGCCCCACCAGGGAUCAAGGGUCGAGCACGAUUCAUGCUGGAGGAAUCUUUUUACCAGAACCCAUACCCAGAAUGUAUAUGCAGGCAACAAUGAUGGUUGAACAGGGUUAAAAACAGGGAAGUGUGGACAGAUUGAGUUGACAGAAUUUGAUUGAGUGUUUUUUUUUUUUUUUUUUUUUUCAUACUUUGCCACGUGUCAUCCUUAUUUUUAACCAUGUUUUUGUAGCAUUUCUCAUAUGCAGGUCCAAAGACACGGUAAGAUGACACAAGUUUCAUCAGGAGAAAGUACAAGAAAUUAUUCUUUUCUGUUUGACCCUUUUGUGGGCACAUCCCGGGGUGUGGAUUUUUCCGUCGAAGUGAAAUGUUAAAUCAGAUCGACUGAAACAAGUACACGUGCUGAAGUCACUAAUGUGUUGCAUCAACUAUUGGGAACCAUUUCUUUUUGCAUAAUAUUUUUAUUUUCAUAAUACUGAUUUUUUUUCCUUCUCUAACUUGUAAUAUGAUGUCUGUAUAGUUGAAUUGACAUUUUGUAAUUGGAGUUUCGAUUAUCAGUUCAAUUUUGUGUAUUGUAUUGUUUA